rnacentral:rRNA from 1 species
ACACGGAUAACAUACCGAAAGGUAUGCUAAUACGGGAUAAUAUAUUUGAGAGGCAUCUCUUGAAUAUCAAAGGUGAGCCAGUACAGGAUGGACCCGCGUCUGAUUAGCUAGUUGGUAAGGUAACGGCUUACCAAGGCGACGAUCAGUAGCCGACCUGAGAGGGUGAUCGGCCACAUUGGAACUGAGACACGGUCCAAACUCCUACGGGAGGCAGCAGUGGGGAAUAUUGCACAAUGGGCGAAAGCCUGAUGCAGCAACGCCGCGUGAGUGAUGAAGGCCUUCGGGUCGUAAAACUCUGUCCUCAAGGAAGAUAAUGACGGUACUUGAGGAGGAAGCCCCGGCUAACUACGUGCCAGCAGCCGCGGUAAUACGUAGGGGGCUAGCGUUAUCCGGAUUUACUGGGCGUAAAGGGUGCGUAGGCGGUCUUUCAAGUCAGGAGUGAAAGGCUACGGCUCAACCGUAGUAAGCUCUUGAAACUGGGAGACUUGAGUGCAGGAGAGGAGAGUGGAAUUCCUAGUGUAGCGGUGAAAUGCGUAGAUAUUAGGAGGAACACCAGUUGCGAAGGCGGCUCUCUGGACUGUAACUGACGCUGAGGCACGAAAGCGUGGGGAGCAAACAGGAUUAGAUACCCUGGUAGUCCACGCUGUAAACGAUGAGUAC